rnacentral:rRNA from 1 species
GCUCAGGACGAACGCUGGCGGCGCGCCUAACACAUGCAAGUCGAACGAGCGAGAGAGAGCUUGCUUUCUCGAGCGAGUGGCGAACGGGUGAGUAACGCGUGAGGAACCUGCCUCAAAGAGGGGGACAACAGUUGGAAACGACUGCUAAUACCGCAUAAGCCCACGACCCGGCAUCGGGUAGAGGGAAAAGGAGCAAUCCGCUUUGAGAUGGCCUCGCGUCCGAUUAACUAGUUGGUGAGGUAAUGGCCCACCAAGGCGACGAUCGGUAGCCGGACUGAGAGGUUGAACGGCCACAUUGGGACUGAGACACGGCCCAGACUCCUACGGGAGGCAGCAGUA